rnacentral:lncRNA from 1 species
CUUGUCCUCCAUGGUGUCUCCCUGGGACCUCGAGAGACUCUUUUCCUCCUCAGGUGGCCUUCAGGUUGGAUGGACACAGCCCGCCUCUCUGAUUAAUUCGGUGGAUGACGUGCUCCAAGGAGGGCUAGGAGUCGGAGAUUCCCCCCUCCCCACCACCUACUUCCUGUCUGGGGAAAACCACAGGGAGAGGGGAGUGAAGGGGAAGCAGCUCCUAACAGCGCUGGGGGCCUUGCCUGGAAGGGGUAAGCAGCAGUUUUUCUGUGUUGCUGCAUGUCAGGGUGAAGGCUGGUGGGAGAAAGCAUUCCUCUGAGUCUUCUCAGCACAAGAAGAAAUCGCAGCCAAACCUGUGCAAUCAAAGAGAAGGGUCUGUGUGAGAUGGUGGGGUGAUACAAGGUGAGUUUUGAUGAUAUGGCCAGGGGAUCCAGGAAUAAGCAACAGGGCUGCGCACCGACAUAGAAAAGGGAAAGAGAGUAACCCAGUAUUGUUAUUGUACUGAAUAUGUUAGUUGCUAAGUUGUUUUCUGACUCUUUGCAGCUCCAUGGUGGAGAAGGCAAUGGCACCCCACUCUAGUACUCUUGCCUGGAGAAUCCCAUGGACAGGGGAGCCUGGUGGACUGCCGUCUGUGGGUUGCACAGAGUUGGACAUGACUGAAAUGACUUAGCAGCAGCAGCAGCUCUAUGGACUAUAGCCCGCCAGGCUCCUCUGUCCAUGGAAUUCUCCAGGCAAGAAUACUGGAGUGGGUUGCUAUUCCUUUCUCCAGGGGAUCUUCCCAACCCAGGGAUCGAGCCCGGGUCUCCUGCAUUGCAGGCGGAUUCUUUACCAUCUGAGCCACCAGGGUCCAACCCAGUAUCAUGAAUGGGUUGGCCAAAAAGUGCAUUUGGGUUUUUCUGUACAAUGCAAUAUGUAAGGAGUGCUGAGACACAAGGCCUGGUGCAGAAAGCUGGCAAAUGAAGGAUGUUUGGGUCUCAAGAACCAAAAAAGCUCUUCCUUGGCCUGAGCUAGCGGAAAUAGCCAGGAGUCAUCCGGUGCUUUACAUAAUAUGCAGCCCUCGACCUGCCACUUCAAGACUCUAUGAGAUGAAAAUCCC